rnacentral:lncRNA from 1 species
UUUAAAUCUGCUUUUUGAGAAGCUAUUUUCUGUUUUCUUCUAUCUCGUGUAUUUACUUGAUUCAAUCGGGGGAUUGAAUCAAGGGGAUUAAGGUUGGUUGGUUAGCCGGUUUAAAACCAACGAGUGUAAGGGUUUGAUUGUGAGCCCGGAAAAAUAAUCGGGGUUGGUUCUAGUCGGUGAGCCUGGGAAAACCGACCGAGUUCGUUGUGAGCUCGUAAAACAACAAGUUCGGUUGUGAGCUUGCAAAACAACCGGCUGUAAUCCAAGGGGGUUAUAGUGAAAUUCCCAAGUGAGACUUGGGGAGUGGACGUAGGAGCAAGGGUUAGCUCCAAACCACUAUAAAACUUUGUGUUUGUAGUGCAUUGUCUCUCAUCUUCUUCCCCACACAUUACUCACAGCACUUAGCUUUAAUUAAAUAACUGGCUAUAGUAUUUCAUUAAUCAUCUACAAAGUUUUAAUUAGCUAAGUUAAUUUAAAAACCCAAUUCACCCCCCCCUCUUGGGUUGUCUAUCUGGGCAACA